CAAUACACCCACAUCUUCCUAGGAAAUCAUCUACAAUAUCAGCCAACCAGAAGCAAUACUUUCAUUUUUUUUUCCAUAACAAACAUUUCCAAGUGAAACAAACUCACACUAUCUUGAAAAUAUGGCCAUCAGUAUGCCUCGUAUCAUUCAAGCAAAAAAAAUUCUGAGGCGGUCAUUAUCUAAUGGAAGCAGAACCCCAACAUAUACGGACAUCCCAAAAGGCUAUUUUUGUGACAAACGGCAAAAUUCCGGAGAUUAGUCGACGGCUUUGGAAAAAUAUGUUCAAGUGGUUAUCAAGAACGCAAGCUUUUGUGAUGUCAUCCGUUUUCGAUUGUUAUGUUUUGAACUUUGAAUAAUGUAGUUAAAGUUUGUGUUGUUUCAAGUUUCAAACAAGACAUAUGUAAUGUAAACUAUGGUUUCGAAUCAAAUGUAUGGAUGAACAUCUUUUAUGUUUCAAAUAUGUUGUUUACU